rnacentral:tRNA from 1 species
GGUCCCGUAGCUCAGCUGGAUAGAGCAACUGCCUUCUAAGCAGUAGGUCGAGCGUUCGAAUCGCCCCGGGAUCGCCA